rnacentral:rRNA from 1 species
GACGAACGCUGGCGGCGUGCUUAACACAUGCAAGUCGAACGGAAAGGCCCUGCUUGCAGGGUACUCGCGUGGCGAACGGGUGAGUAACACGGGGGCGAGCAGCCCUGCAGUUCUGGAUAAGCGUAGAAAACGGGGACAGAUACCGGAUAGGAACAAUCUUUAGAGUGGUGGUUGGAAAGUUUUUUCGGUGUGGGAUGAGCGCGCGGCCUAUCAGCUUGUUGGUAGGGUAAUGGCCUACCAAGGCGGCGACGGGUAGGCGGCCUGAGCGGGUGUACGGCCACACUGGGCCUGAGACUACGCCCAGCCUCCUACGGGAGGCAGCAGUGGGGAAUAUUGCCCUAUGGGCGCCAGGCUGAUGCAAGGAUGCCGGGUGGGGGAUUAAGGCCCUGCGGUUGUAAACUCCUUUCGCUAGGGACGAAGCUUUUUGUGACGGUACCUAGAUAAGAAGCACCGGCUAACUACGUG